CUUCACUCACACUCAGAGAGCAGCAGAGAGGGGUGGAGCACAUAUGUUGUCAAUACGUUUUAAUUACUUGUUCUAAUUCUCCCUUUCCUGUGCUGGACGUGCUAAGACACACUUCCCUCCCGAAGAUUUAUUGCUGUGGAGUGGAGGUGGUCCUUAAGUGGAGCUAUAGUCCCCCCAUCAGGCUAGUUAUGGAAAUGCGCAAAUCUCCAAUUCUCCUCCAUUAGAGGAAAUGGCUGUGAGAAGUUGCGUCGGUCCCUACAGAAUGCUGAAGCCAUCAUACGAAGCAUUGGGGAGUGCUGGUGUUCCGGUUGGUGGUGACGUCGGGUCCGGAGGCCGCCACCGAUGGAACCGGGGGUGCCUAAGCCAGCUCGUCGGGCUGUCACGCCCUAGCUGGCUCGAGAGGUUCUUGCCCCGAUUGGCUCGGAAGGCGCCCAUCCCACGUCAGACCUCAGCCAAAUUGUCAGGUUUUUACGCCCAGCUGGCUCGUCAGGCUGCUACGCCUGUACCUGCUUCACAUCUCCAGCAUCGGUCUCUACACAACAAGUCACAUAAUAAGUUGUGUGUACUCACUGUGUGCAAUAAUAGUGAUAAGCAUGAUUUUUUUUAUGACUAACUCGUCUCUGUACCCCACACAUACAAUUAUCUGUAAGAUCCCUCAAUCGAGCAGGGAAUUUCAAACACAGAUUCAACCACAAUGACCAGGGAGGUUGUCCAAUGCCUCAGAAAGAAGGGCAGCUUUUGGUGGAUGGGUGUAAAAUAAAAAAAGCAGACAUUGAA